AAUUGAGAAGAGAGAAGAGAAGAGAGAAAACCUAACUCUCUUUGAUCUUCAAACCACCAUAACUUGAGCUACGGAGCUCCGAUUGACGAGUCGUUUGCGGCCACGCGUCGCUCUUCUCAUCCUCUACAAUUCUAUCUAAGUUUUGUGGGAUACUCCAACAUGGAUUCUAAGUGGGUUCUAUCCCUACUUCAUAUGGGCUGAGUGUAUUUGAUGAUCUUGGUGCACAAUUGGAAGAUUGGUGUUGCUUGAGGAGCUUUGGUAAGGCUUGAGGCUAAGGUUGGUGGAGACUUCUAAAGAAG